AUUGAACGCUGGCGGCAGGCCUAACACAUGCAAGUCGAGCGGAUGAGAAGAGCUUGCUCUUCGAGUUAGCGGCGGACGGGUGAGUAAUGCCUAGGAAUCUGCCUGGUAGUGGGGGACAACGUUUCGAAAGGAACGCUAAUACCGCAUACGUCCUACGGGAGAAAGCAGGGGACCUUCGGGCCUUGCGCUAUCAGAUGAGCCUAGGUCGGAUUAGCUAGUUGGUGAGGUAAUGGCUCACCAAGGCGACGAUCCGUAACUGGUCUGAGAGGAUGAUCAGUCACACGGGAACUGAGACACGGUCCAGACUCCUACGGGAGGCAGCAGUGGGGAAUAUUGGACAAUGGGCGAAAGCCUGAUCCAGCCAUGCCGCGUGUGUGAAGAAGGUCUUCGGAUUGUAAAGCACUUUAAGUUGGGAGGAAGGGCAGUAAGCGAAUACCUUGCUGUUUUGACGUUACCGACAGAAUAAGCACCGGCUAACUCUGUGCCAGCAGCCGCCGCCGUAA
rnacentral:rRNA from 1 species